rnacentral:lncRNA from 1 species
UCUCCCUCCCGCAAGCACACAGAUCCUCUCUUCUCUCCAUGUAGUCACUACUUGGGGAAGGGGAAUGGGUGGUAUCAGCAAUUCAAGACUGAUUUCUUUUCCAUCUUCAGCGCCCCUUUCCUUGAUAUGAUGUUAAAACCAGAACAAGAAACAGAUCGAGGAAGAGGCAGAGUAACAACAGCCGGGAAGAAGAUACAGUUUUGUCAUUUUGUAGUGAGACUGUGCCCUAUACAUGAACCUAUUUGCCAGACCCAUCAAGUGAAUUCCGUGAUUCUUAUGAAAAAUGCCAUUAGACCUGUGAGAGGGGCUGUGACAGUGGAACCCGAAUGAAGACAGGAAAAGUCUGUAGAGGACUGAUGGUUAUGUUCACCAUUCAAAUUGCAAGAAAACCAAUAAGAAGUCAGUAAAGUGCAUUCAAAGAGAAAGGUGGGACUCGUGAAGCAGCAAUACUAAACUGAUACACAAAGGAUCCCCGUACUUCAUCAAAAUAUCAAUGUUGUCCAUGACACACAAAGAACCCAGCUGUAGUUUAAUUCAGCAUCACAGUCCCAACAUGUUUUAAAACAUGUUCCAGCUUUUGGUCCCAGGAUUAUUCAACCUAGCUCAUAAAAGAAAACAAUAUUGCAUUUCUAAGUAUUGGCUCCUAGAAUUGGCAAGUUUAGUCAAGAAAAGCUGGAAUGCCGUUAAAACAACACCCUGUCAUCUUUCAAUCAGUCCUUAGCUGAAGUUAAAAUCCCACUCAUUCUGCAUGAUCCAGCCUCUGUAGCAUAGAGUGAGUAGCCCCUUAACAAGAACCAAAAUGGAGGGUACGGAUGAGGCUCAGAUCGUCACCACCUGGAGAAUAGAGACAGUGACUGAGUCACCAGGAAAUCUGUCCCCUGCUCAUCCCAGAAUCCCCGAGCUUUGACUUUUUAAGAGAACAUGUGACAGAUAAUGCCAUCUGAGAAGUCCAGCUUAGGCAACUCAGUCAUCAAUGUGUCCUCGAGAAGAGCAUAUCCCCAAAUUGGAAAAUAAUCCUUCAGGGCAUCUGAACAUAACCACAUUUGGCUUACUUUGUGAAGCAGUUGUCUGAAUAGAAUAAGACUGGCUUGGAACGAGAUUCACAGAGCAACCAAAUAAAGAUGAUUGAGUGAAUGGCUAAAGAAAUAAAUAUGUUCGAAUCUGUACCCAUCUCAUGUCUUUCCUGAUGAUUGCCUCCUUUACUGUAUGUUUUCCACUGAGAUGAAGAUUUUGGUCAUUUCCUCAUUCAUGUUCCUGCUUUUCAAAACCCAAGCAAGAAAGGAAACUUCUACAGUGACUUUCUCAUUAUGAAAUCUUAGCAUUCACUAGUCGGCCAUAAUGGAAAACCAGCCAAAUGGACACAUAUACACUGGUCUGUACCCGCAGAGAAAGAAAUGCAAAUCUCUGUGAUCAGAAAACUAUCCUAUCUUGUACAUUGUUAAAAGUCUGCCUCCAAAAAGUUUACUUCUGGAAUACUGUAAUUGAAUAGAAUCAGGGAUCCUACCUGUGUCCUUCAACUUUCACAUCUUGUCUACUCAAGUAAGGGUUGAAUUUGCAUGACUAUAUCUAAGGUUCGAGGGCUUACCUGUUGGCAGUAGACCCAGUAGUCUAUGAAUGGAAAUGGGCAAACCUGUGACCUCCCAAAACUUUAAUAUGAAAGUUUUGUUUGUGUAUACUCAUGGCAUUAUUCUUUUAAUAAAGAGAUAAUCUAUAUAG